GCCUGUGCUCUCUCUGGGUCCUUGGCUCUGCCUGUGCAGCAGGUUGUCACCUGCGAGCAGCGUUGGAGCAGAGUCACCCCGACCCCCAGAGCAAGGCCUGCUCCUUCCACCUCGACUCUCACAGCUGGCGCUCAGUGGAUGGGGACGGAGCCGCGUGUCCAGGGACUGCUCCAGCUGGACGCCAGUCAAGCCCGACCCUGCACCAGGAGCGCCCUCGCCAUCAGACACCAGUGUGGGUCCACUCCAAGCGCUGCCACGCUCUGAUUGGACGGGCUUCCUGUCAGUCAGUGAUUAGUAACCCCUGCGCCCAGUGAGGCUGGAGCAGAGUGCACACGCCCCGCCCUCCCCUGGGAAACACUGCUGCUGUGCGCCCGUGUGAGGUGCACUGCCUCCGGUGGGAACCGCCACUCGUUCACAAUCUGUGUGUGAGGCCAGCCUCCUUCAACAGGCCCUUCACACCCUGGUAUACGAGCGAGAAGUGUGAAGACUCGGGUCGAUCCAUGUCUUG